AACGCUAGCUACAGGCUUAACACAUGCAAGUCGAGGGGCAGCAGGGAUUUAGCUUGCUAAAUUCGCUGGCGACCGGCGCACGGGUGCGUAACGCGUAUCCAACUUUCCCGUUACUCUGGGAUAGCCUUCCGAAAGGGAGAUUAAUACGAGAUGGUGUUUUAAUUUCGCAUGUUAUUAAAACUAAAGAUUUAUCGGUAACGGAUAGGGAUGCGUGACAUUAGAUAGUUGGCGGGGUAACGGCCCACCAAGUCAACGAUGUCUAGGGGUUCUGAGAGGAAGGUCCCCCACACUGGAACUGAGACACGGUCCAGACUCCUACGGGAGGCAGCAGUGAGGAAUAUUGGUCAAUGGCCGAGAGGCUGAACCAGCCAAGUAGCGUGAAGGAUGAAGGUUCUAUGGAUUGUAAACUUCUUUUAUACGGGAAUAACAUCACCUACGUGUAGGUGCCUGCAUGUACCGUAUGAAUAAGCAUCGGCUAACUCCGUGCCAGCAGCCGCGGUAAUACGGAGGAUGCGAGCGUUAUCCGGAUUUAUUGGGUUUAAAGGGAGCGUAGACGGGAUGUUAAGUCAGCUGUGAAAGCCUGCGGCCCAACCGCAGAACUGCAGUUGAUACUGGCGUUCUUGAGUGCGUACGAGGUAUGUGGAAUUCGUGGUGUAGCGGUGAAAUGCUUAGAUAUCACGAAGAACUCCGAUUG
rnacentral:rRNA from 1 species